rnacentral:rRNA from 1 species
CCUACGGGUGGCAGCAGUGAGGAAUAUUGGUCAAUGGCCGUAAGGCUGAACCAGCCAAGUCGCGUGAGGGAAGACUGCCCUAUGGGUUGUAAACCUCUUUUAUGGGGGGAUAAAGGUGUCCACGUGUGGAUGUUUGCAGGUACCGCAUGAAUAAGGACCGGCUAAUUCCGUGCCAGCAGCCGCGGUAAUACGGAGGGUCCGGGCGUUAUCCGGAUUUAUUGGGUUUAAAGGGUGCGUAGGCUGGUCUUUAAGUGGGCCGUGAAAGUUUGUGGCUCAACCAUGAGAGUGCCGGUGAAACUGGAGGCCUUGAGUGCGUGGGAGGCAGGCGGAAUGCGUGGUGUAGCGGUGAAAUGCAUAGAUAUCACGCAGAACCCCGAUUGCGAAGGCAGCCUGCC